ACAAACAAAAUGAUCGUGUUUACUUGCCAAAGAGGUCAGCUGAAAAUGUGCACCUUCGGUUGGCCACCAGAACUCAUGCGCCGGCCAUGGUGAUGAUGUGGGCCGCCAUAACAGCCGAUGGUUACUAUCCUCUCGUAUUAAUCAACCGUGUCAUCAGAAUAAAUGCCGAAUAUUAUGGCGUAAAUAUUCUGGAGGGUGCAUUAAAGCCUUGGGCACGCAAACCUUUUGGCAGUAGACCUUGGACAUUCCAACAGGACUUAGCCACAUGGCACUCAGCACGCGCCACCCAAGAAUGGUUACAAAAUGAGGUUCCUCGCUUCAUUUCCAGCACACAAUGGCCACCAAAAUCUCCGGAUACCAAUCCGUUGGACUAUUGUGUCUGGAGUAUUUUGGAAAGCAAAGUUGGUACUAAAAAAUACCAAAGUAUCGAUCACCUCAAGCAAGCGCUUCGCCGGGAAUGGGCCAAAAUACCGCAGAGCAACAUUCAUACUGUUACGGUGUGAGACGGUUUCAUUGGCCGUUUGAAGGCCAUAAUUCGUGCCAAAGGUGACCAAUUCGAACAAAUCUAAACUUAUUCUAAAAUUUGAUGAUAUUUCCGACAUUUUUUGCUUUCAUUCAGGAAAAUUAAAGUAAAAAAUGUAAAAA